GUGUUCACAUCGACCACACAUGCACUAAAAUAGAAACGAUAUGGAGAAGAUGAGCAUGACCACUGUGCAAGGAUGCCACGCAGAUUCAUGAAGCGUUCCAUAUUUUA